GCCUUGAGACAGACUGGCAUCCUGUCCAGGGUGCACCCUGCCUCACACCAGGUGACCGCUGGGAUGGGUUCCAGCCCCCUGUGACCCUGAA